AAGGUAUUGUGCAGCCAAGGAUGACUUGCCGUCCGUACGUUGUGAUAUUCUAGCUAGCUACCAAGUAGCAAGAAUUUAUCUAUCGGAAGUUAGAAACUGAGGCUGGCAAGUUGUCUUUGGCUACAUGUUUCUUUCU
rnacentral:pre_miRNA from 1 species